UNUAAUGGCGAACAGGGUGAGUAACACGUGGGCAAUCUGCCCUUCACUCUGGGACAAGCCCUGGAAACGGGGUCUAAUACCGGAUACGACACGGGGUCGCAUGACCUCCGUGUGGAAAGCUCCGGCGGUGAAGGAUGAGCCCGCGGCCUAUCAGCUUGUUGGUGGGGUGAUGGCCUACCAAGGCGACGACGGGUAGCCGGCCUGAGAGGGCGACCGGCCACACUGGGACUGAGACACGGCCCAGACUCCUACGGGAGGCAGCAGUGGGGAAUAUUGCACAAUGGGCGAAAGCCUGAUGCAGCGACGCCGCGUGAGGGAUGACGGCCUUCGGGUUGUAAACCUCUUUCAGCAGGGAAGAAGCGAAAGUGACGGUACCUGCAGAAGAAGCGCCGGCUAACUACGUGCCAGCAGCCGCGGUAAUACGUAGGGCGCAAGCGUUGUCCGGAAUUAUUGGGCGUAAAGAGCUCGUAGGCGGCUUGUCACGUCGGAUGUGAAAGCCCGGGGCUUAACCCCGGGUCUGCAUUCGAUACGGGCAGGCUAGAGUUCGGUAGGGGAGAUCGGAAUUCCUGGUGUAGCGGUGAAAUGCGCAGAUAUCANGANNAACACCGGUGGCGAAAGCGGAUCUCUGGGCCGAUACUGACGCUGAGNAGCNAAAGCGUGGGGAGCGAACAGGAUUANAUACCCNNGNAGUCCACGCCGUAAANGUGGG
rnacentral:rRNA from 1 species